rnacentral:rRNA from 1 species
GAUGAACGCUGGCGGCGUGCUUAACACAUGCAAGUCGAACGGUGAACGAGGGAGCUUGCUCCCUCCGGAUCAGUGGCGAACGGGUGAGUAACACGUGAGCAAUCUGCCCUGGACUCUGGGAUAAGCGUUGGAAACGACGUCUAAUACCGGAUACGAGGCGUGGGGGCAUCCCCAACGCCUGGAAAGAACUUCGGUCCAGGAUGAGCUCGCGGCCCAUCAGGUAGUUGGUGAGGUAAUGGCUCACCAAGCCUACGACGGGUAGCCGGCCUGAGAGGGUGACCGGCCACACUGGGACUGAGACACGGCCCAGACGCCUACGGGAGGCAGCAGUGGGGAAUAUUGCACAAUGGGCGAAAGCCUGAUGCAGCAACGCCGCGUGAGGGACGACGGCCUUCGGGUUGUAAACCUCUUUUAGCAGGGAAGAACCGAAAGUGACGGUACCUGCAGAAAAAGCACCGGCUAACUACGUGCCAGCCGCCGCUGUAAAAC